rnacentral:rRNA from 1 species
AACGCGAAGAACCUUACCUGGGCUUGAACUACUGGUGGUAAGUCUUUGGAAACAGAGGCUGACCCGCAAGGGAGCCAGCAGAGGUGCUGCAUGGUUGUCGUCAGCUCGUGUCGUGAGAUGUUGGGUUAAGUCCCGCAACGAGCGCAACCCCUAUCUCAUGUUGCUAUUCCCGCAAGGGAAGCACUCUUGAGAAACUGCCUUCGAUAAGAAGGAGGAAGGUGGGGACGACGUCAAAUCCUCAUGGCCCUUAUGUCCAGGGCAACACACGUGUUACAAUGGCCGGUACAGUGGGAAGCAAUACCGUAAGGUGGAGCCAAACCUCAAAGCCGGCCCCAGUUCAGAUUGUGGGCUGCAACUCGCCCACAUGAAGGCGGAAUCGCUAGUAAUCGCUGAUCAGCAGGCAGCGGUGAAUACGUUCCCGGGCCUUGUACACACCGCUACAGU